AUAUCAGUAAGCGGAGGAAAAGAAACUAACAAGGAUUCCCUCAGUAAUGGCGAAUGAACCGGGAGGAGCUCAAAUUUAAAAUCUGGCUGGUUUCCAGUCCGAGUUGUAGUCUGCAGAAACGCGGUCGAGCGCGGCGGCUGGCACAAGUUCCUUGGAACAGGACAUCGGAGAGGGUGAGAAUCCCGUCUGUGUCUUCUGCUGGCGCGACACGAUGCGUUUUCAAAGAGUCGGGUUGCUUGGGAAUGCAGCUCAAAAUGGGUGGUAAAUUUCAUCUAAGGCUAAAUAUUGGCAAGAGACCGAUAGCGAACAAGUACCGUGAGGGAAAGAUGAAAAGGACUUUGAAAAGAGAGUCAAAAGACUUGAAAUCGUUGAGAAGGAAGCGGUAGAAAUUUAUUCUUCGGCAUUCAUCUUAGGUUUUCACUUAACUAUUCCGGAGCUAAGGUACGCAAGGCCUGGCGUUGGACUUGGGGAAGUGGGGCUGUGGUGGGUGUUGUGAGGCAAAAUGGGAUUGUAUUUCUGCAAAGGUGCUUGUCGCUUAGGGGGCUUCGGCUCUCAACGAUGGGUGUGCCGGUAGGGGUAUAGUCCGAGGGGCUUUGUGCGAUUUUGCCAAAAUGGUUUUUACCGA
rnacentral:rRNA from 1 species